CUCAUUACAUUGAUAGAAACAUUAUUCAAAGUUCAAUGUUCCACUUCAGGCACAGAUAUUUCCAAAAUAUGGGGAGGUAGAGGGGUUCUCCAGGGUCGUCCUGAGAAUACAUAAAGCCGAUUCAAAAUUUGGUUGCAUGUGUUCUCAGGUCGCCCCUGCUGGACUUUUCUCUACCAAUUGAUUGUGAAUGCACUUAGCACAAAUGAAAAUGGAGAAAGGGCAAAAGAAUGCAUGAAUGUCAGUUGAAUUAUCAAGUUGUGGAAGGUCUAAAGUGGCAUCUCUUUUGUUACCAUGUGGGAUCAAUUUCCAAUUCUCUUUACUUUCAAGUAGUUGAUUCUGUUUUUCAUCGUCAAUGACAUUAAGGACGGGAAGAUAACCAGAUGACC